rnacentral:rRNA from 1 species
UCAUAGGAGACGGGUGCUGGAAUGCUCUGUCUCCCAAAGGUCCGCCGCCUGAGGAUGAGUCUGCGUCCGAUUAGGUAGUUGUUGGGGUAACGGCCCAACAAGCCUUUGAUCGGUACGGGUUGUGGGAGCAAGAGCCCGGAGAUGGAUUCUGAGACAUGAAUCCAGGCCCUACGGGGCGCAGCAGGCGCGAAAACUUUACAAUGCGAGCAAUCGUGAUAAGGAAACCCUGAGUGCCUGUCAAUGCAGGCUGUUCUGGUGUCUAACACACACCAGGAGAAAGGGCGGGGCAAGACCGGUGCCAGCCGCCGCGGUAAUACCGGCUGCUCGAGUGAUAGCCACUUUUACUGGGCUUAAAGCGUUCGUAGCUUGGUCGUUAAGUCUCUGGGGAAAUCUUUUGGCUCAACCAAAAGGCGUCUCAGGGAAACUGGCGAUCUUGGAACCGGGAGAGGUAAGACGUACUUCGGGGGUAGGAGUGAAAUCUUGUAAUCCCCGAGGGACGACCGAUGGCGAAGGCAUCUUACCAGAACGGCUUCGACAGUGAGGGACGAAAGCUGGGGGAGCAAACCGGAUUAGAUACCCGGGUAGUCCCAGCCGUAAACGAUGUGCGUUAGG